GACGAACGCUGGCGGCGUGCUUAACACAUGCAAGUCGAACGGAAAGGCCCUGCUUUUGUGGGGUGCUCGAGUGGCGAACGGGUGAGUAACACGUGAGUAACCUGCCCUUGACUUUGGGAUAACUUCAGGAAACUGGGGCUAAUACCGGAUAGGAGCUCCUGCUGCAUGGUGGGGGUUGGAAAGUUUCGGCGGUUGGGGAGGGACUCGCGGCUUAUCAGCUUGUUGGUGGGGUAGUGGCUUACCAAGGCUUUGACGGGUAGCCGGCCUGAGGGGGUGACCGGCCACAUGGGGACUGGGAUACGGCCAGGACUCCUACGGGAGGCAGCAGUGGGGAAUAUUGCACAAUGGGCGGAAGCCUGAUGCAGCAACGCCGCGUGCGGGAUGACGGCCUUCGGGUUGUAAACCGCUUUCGCCUGUGACGAAGCGUGAGUGACGGUAAUGGGUAAAGAAGCACCGGCUAACUACGUG
rnacentral:rRNA from 1 species